UGUUAAAAAAUUCAUUCCUUUGUACUAUUAAAAACUGAUAUGAUUGAUAAAAAAAAUCAAACAGUAACAUGUGGUAUGUCACGUGCACCUCAUAUCAACGUACAAAGACUAUUUUUUAAUAGUAGAAUGGAUGUAAUUUAAUA
rnacentral:pre_miRNA from 1 species